rnacentral:rRNA from 1 species
AACAGGAUUAGAUACCCUGUAGUCCUAGCCGUAAACGAUGGAUACUAGGCGCUGUGCGUAUCGACCCGUGCAGUGCUGUAGCUAACGCGUUAAGUAUCCCGCCUGGGGAGUACGUUCGCAGGAAUGAAACUCAAAGGAAUUGACGGGGGCCCGCACAAGCGGUGGAGCAUGUGGUUUAAUACGAUGAUACGCGAGGAACCUUACCAGGGCUUAAAUGUAGAUUGACAGAUUUGGAAACAGAUUUUUCUUCGGACAAUUUACAAGGUGCUGCAUGGUUGUCGUCAGCUCGUGCCGUGAGGUGUCAGGUUAAGUCCUAUAACGAGCGCAACCCCUGUUGUUAGUUGCCAGCACGUAAUGGUGGGAACUCUAGCAAGACUGCCGGUGUAAACCGUGAGGAAGGUGGGGAUGACGUCAAAUCAUCACGGCCCUUACGUCCUGGGCCACACACGUGCUACAAUGGCCGGUACAGAGAGCAGCCACUUAGCGAUAAGGAGCGAAUCUAUAAAGCCGGUCACAGUUCGGAUUGGAGUCUGCAACUCGACUCUAUGAAGCUGGAAUCGCUAGUAAUCGGAUAUCAGCCAUGAUCCGGUGAAUACGUUCCCGGGCCUUGUACACACCGCCCGUCAAGCCAUGGAAGCUGGGGGUACCUGAAGUCGGUGACCGCAAGGAGCUGCCUAGGGUAAAACUAGUGACUGGGGCUAAGUCGUAACAAGGUAACC